rnacentral:lncRNA from 1 species
GAGUGUGCCGAUGCUGUUGCUUGUGCCGCUGGAUGCUUGUAGAUUGUGGCUGCUGCUUAGGUUGCUAGUGCCUGCUGCGCUGCGGUAGCUGUUGCCUUGCUAUUCUGCUAUUGCUGCAUGUGCUUGCUUGCCUUAGAUGUUCCUGCCACCGGGUGCUUGCCGUUUAGCUAGAUGCAUGUAGUAGCUUGCUGUUGCUGCUAGUGUAGUCUGAGUCACAUGCUAGUGCUGUUGCUGGCGAUGCUUAGUUGCUGUUGCUUGCUUGCGUGUUGCUGUUGCCCGUGCUGCUAUAGAUUGCUGUUGCUUGCUUAUGUUAUUGUCGCCGCUUAGACCAUCCCCGCGUCGUGGAGCCGACAAGUUCGCCGUGUACGACGACGUCCUCGACGACCCCGGGGAACGUGUUCGACUACCGACGUCGAAGACCCGUGAACCGACGCCAAGCGAACGACUACCGUCGACGAGACCGAGUACCUCGACUUGCACGACGUCUGCUUCGAACCGAACCGUUCCGAUGUGCACGCUCCGAAGGUAUAACGUUGAGGCGUUGUCGUGAACCGAACGCAUAUGAUGUAUGAGUUGAACUGUAUGUUUGCGUCGUAUGUUAGCCCGUUGCACGUUGUCUCUU